rnacentral:lncRNA from 1 species
CUCUGGCAUGACGUGACACUUCCUACGGCUCCCAUGGGCUCUCUAAAGCCGCCAGAAAGUGGAAUGGGGUGUCUGCUGUCUCUGGGCGAAGAACAGCAGGAGAAUUUGUGAGUGGUCAGCCUGGGGACAGUGACACUGGAGAUGUGCGUUCAUGAGAAUUCUCCAUUUUUUUCUUUCAGCCUUUGAAUGAAUACAACGUUGCCCGGUUGGAAUAUUAUCGCUUUUACGAGAAAAAUAGCAUAAAAAUAGAUUUUAAACAGCGUUUGACAUGCUUCGAAGUACGGUAAUGGAAUAUUUUGAAUUUUUUGGUCACGAAAUGCACUCGCGCGUCACCCUUCGGAUAGUGACCUGAACGCACAAACAAAACAGAGCUAUUUGAAUAUAACUAUGGAUUAUUUGGAACCAAAACAGCAUUUGUUGUUGAAGUAGAAGUCCUGGGAGUGCAUUCUGACGAAGAACAGCAAAGAUCUCAGAAGAUUCAGAACAAUUGAGUCUCCAUUUGUGAUGCCCCUGGGGGAAAGAGCUUGAUGGAGUGAACCAUUUUGGUCAAGUCCUUCCUUUUUGGGGGAGAGGCGGUGGAAAUCCAAGCCACAGCUGGACACGGAGCCACUUGAAAUGAGGUUGACUGACCUGGGAAGGGAGCACAAAGCCAGCACCAAAUGAAAGAAAUGAAAAGAAAGAGAAAAACUUAUUAGAUGUACUGAAUCAUUUUACUUUGUGGCCAACAGGGAUUGGACAGCAAGUGAAAUCAGACUGUGAUUCGCAACUUGGGGCACAAUGUGUUUUCACACUUUGUCCCUUUCAGCCAAUUGUUGUGCAGUGUGAAUGCUCCAAAGGCACUUUGAUCUCUCAAAAGAGCCCCCGAAGUGAACUGAACUGAGAAUCUUGAGAGGUG